AUUGAACGCUGGCGGCAUGCCUUACACAUGCAAGUCGAACGGUAACAGGUCUUCGGAUGCUGACGAGUGGCGAACGGGUGAGUAAUACAUCGGAACGUGCCCGCGAGUGGGGGAUAACGAGGCGAAAGCUUUGCUAAUACCGCAUACGAUCUCAGGAUGAAAGCAGGGGACCGCAAGGCCUUGCGCUCACGGAGCGGCCGAUGGCAGAUUAGGUAGUUGGUGGGAUAAAAGCUUACCACGCCGACGAUCUGUAGCUGGUCUGAGAGGACGACCAGCCACACUGGGACUGAGACACGGCCCAGACUCCUACGGGAGGCAGCAGUGGGGAAUUUUGGACAAUGGGCGCAAGCCUGAUCCAGCCAUGCCGCGUGCAGGAUGAAGGCCUUCGGGUUGUAAACUGCUUUUGUACGGAACGAAAAGACUCUGGUUAAUACCUGGGGUCCAUGACGGUACCGUAAGAAUAAGCACCGGCUAACUACGUGCCAGCAGCCGCGGUAAUAC
rnacentral:rRNA from 1 species